GUCUUCUGUGUCCAUUGGGAUCUCACAGGAACCUACAGGUAUCCCUGGGGAUUUAUGAAGUGACACAAAGGUGAAAGCUUCCAAUCCCCAUAGGAAGGGUUAUGAAGCUGCACAGAUGGCUGCUUCUCAUCCCGGGUUCCUGCCUGAUGCACAGGCAGAGGUUCCAGAUCUUGCUGUAGCUGCUCCAGUGCAUCUUUAACCCCACUCAGUGGUGUGACGGAAAUGGAGUCUGACAGAGCUCAGCAAACCUCAGCCAAAAAAGCCCUUAUUUUGGGAGGUAUUAAUAGAAGAGUUCUACAGAGAUGCCCGCUUUUAUGCUGCUGUUGUUCUGACUACCACAUGGAAUGUGUAUAUAUUCAUAGAAUCAUAGAAUAACAGAACAGCCUGGGUUGAAAAGGACAAUCAUCCAGUUCCAACCCCCUGCUAUGUGCAGGGUCGCCAACCAGCAGCCCAGGCUGCCCAGAGCCACAUCCAGCCUGGCCUUGAAUGCCUGCAGGGAUGGGGCAUCCACAGCCUCCUUGGGCAACCUGUUCAGCGUGUGACUAUUCUGACUACAUGUUCUGGUAGCACCGGGUGUUCCAAAAAAGACCAAGGUCUGACAAUGAGAGAAAAUCUGUGGUUUGAGUAAUUUGAAAACAAAAACAAAAACAACAACAACAACAACAACAACAAACCAAAAAAACAAGGAAGAAAAACAGGACGAGCAGCUGCCCUAUGGGCUGCCCCCUGCAGCCCCUGCCAGGCACUGCUGGACCCCAAGAUGUGGAGUAGUACAGAACUGCCCCUUCCCAUGCCAGUGCUCUGCAUUUCUGCUGGUGCUCACGAAGCACUGCUUGUGAAGGCAGCCGCGUUCCUGGUUGUUGUAAAGUAUGUUUUAAAUGGGCACAGUAAUAGAGAAACGGUGAACAAAUAGGACGUGCAAUAUAACUAGGUGAGCAAUUCUGCUAGAGAAAAUAUAUAUAUACACACACCUCAUUGGCUCUUCAGAAUAAAUCAGCAGGGAAAAUGCUGAGACAAAGAUCACUUUUAGCAAGCAUCCUUAUUUCUGUUCAAGAGAUAUUUUGCUUGCAUGUUAAUUGGGCCUCUAAUUGUUCUCUCUGUGCUGCUGUGUCUGCCUUUUGAAUUCUGCAGAGCACUGCCUGCCAAUGCCUUCCCUCUGUAAGCUCUUCUUUUAGCAGAAGAUGGAAAGGGAUGAAGAGCUCCAUACAUCCAGCAGGGCUGUGCUGGCUGCUCCUCAGGCAGGUUUCAAGUCUAUCCUUGAGCGUCCUCCUGUCAGGUGCUUGGAAAUCUCAUUCUCCGUCACCUGCCACCGUGUUUGUGUAGAAGAAGAAAAGAAUCAGACACUUUGGUGUGGCACAAGGGUUCCCCAUCCAUCUUCAGCUAUAUGGUGAAGCAGCAUAAAGCUGGGCAGCAGCUCAGCCUGCUCCUAAUUAAGAUUAAAAGUGGAAGCGGUCCAUUAUGGGGAAAGCAACUCCUAAUGAAAAUUUAGGAGUUUGGAUUCGAAGGCAGAGGAGCAUUUUGAGUAAAGAAGUGGAAGUGCAGUGUGCCCCCAGUGACGCAUCCCUUUUCCAUGUGAUGUCUGUGACUCAUUGGAAACGAGACCCAGUGCGACAGGACUGCCUGUCACUGCACGGCCUGCAGUCUGGGAUGGCAGCUUUGUGUGUUCUUCGGCUCUGGUUAUCCAGAGAUUCUCACAGCAAACUCAAGGUGUUGAUUUUGGGCUUGGUGGGAAGCAGAGCAGCAGACUUAGCAAAAGGUCGUGUGAUUCAUCUCACAGAAAAAAUCAAACCGCAUAUGGAGUUUCAGAGCUGAAAGGAGAAGGUGGGCAGUACUGGCCCAGCUCUCCGUGGCAGCUGUGUGCCCUGGCUCCCCAUGAAUGCUGGCUGGAUGUGCCCUGUGCUCAAUGGCACGGCUUUCAGCUGUGCUGCCUUUGACAUCCAGUCCAGCACCGAUCCAUCUGUCGGAUUGAGUAUUGCCCAUUGUACAAAGCUUCGUGUGGCUGGAGAGGGGGGAAGCAGUGGGAGGUGGUGUCCAAAUGGUGCUGUCUGGCAGUGCUCCUCUCCUGCUGACACUGGGAUGGGAGGACAUGAUGGCCAUGGGAAACCAGAGGGCUGUGAGUGAUGGCUUCUGCAAAAGUGCCUCGGAUGGUGGGGAUUAUCUCGGCAGACAAAAGGAAAUCUGGUUACAGUGUGAUCCAGGGAGAUGAGAGGAAGAAAGGGAUCUGUGUGCUUAGAUCGGGCACUUGGACUUCUCAGAGAAACAGGAAAGACUGAUUGAUUGGGGUUUUCUGCUGUGAUACGUGCUAUGUCAUCAGCUGCGUUUGUCUUUCAUGGCUAUUGAAAUUUGCAGUAAGAAAAUGUUGUACACCAGUCCUAUGCUCUCCAAAAUCAGACGUGGCUCCUUCAGUGUGUCCCAUGCUGUUGCCUGCCUUGCAGGGACCGUUCCCUGGUGUCGUGGUCCUGGGCUGCUCCUGCUCCCCCUGGGCUGCAGCUGCCCUGCUCGGAGGGUUCUACAGUGACAGGCUGUGCUCCUGGGGAGGACGAGACCCAGAAACCAACUCCUCAGAGUCACGCUUCUGUCAUCUCACCUGUCUGCAGCUUCUGCGAGACAUGACUUCAGCUUUCCCUCCGUACAGGUCACCUACCUAUGGACCCAGGCUUCUCCAGUGCACAAGAAAACUCACCAACACAAAUAGAAAAUGCGGCUUUCACCUUCCCACAGAGCUGGUGGUGCAGCACAGAAACUGCUCUCACAGGCGUGUUGGGAUAUUUUCUGCUGGGAAUAUUUUGUUCCAAGCCACACGAGAGUGCUCCACUGAAGAACAAAUCAUGCUAUUAGAUUUGCACUUUAAUCUUCCCUUUGGGAACACAGAGCUUCCUAAUGUAAUCUUGAUGGAGCUGCAAGUUUGGGAGCAUCCAGGUGACGGACAGGCAUGCUGAGGAGGGCUGUGCUCAUGGAUUGCAUUGCACUGCAGUGAAAGCAGCAGCUCGCAUGGCUCAAAGCCUGCACUGGGGCACAGCCAGCCAUGCUGCAGGGACAUCCAUGGGCUGGACACCACAGAGUGCAACCACAGAGGUUGAAGUGAAGUAUUGCUGCCCUCUUCUCCCCAAAAUGCCCCUGUCAGUGUUGACACCUUGGACAGCAGGAAGACAAAAAUUCACGAAGUGAAUGAUCAAAGAGCCCUAAGGGCUGAUGAGUCAGUGCUGUGAUGAAACCAAAUGUUACAGAUCAAGGCACCCGUCAGAAAGCCUUGUUCAGGGAAAGCAGCUGUCAGCACUUCACUUGUCUGCUUGCCGUGCAGAUGCUAAACCCAAGUGACAGCACCAGCAUCUGCAGAGCUCAUCAGGCAGUGCCGGGGCUGUGCCGGCGUCCCACUGCCAGCCCAGCGUGUCUGCCCUGGGCACCUGGGAGCCCCC
ensembl:lncRNA